rnacentral:misc_RNA from 1 species
ACUCCGUAGGUGAACCUGCGGAGGGAUCAUUACAGAGUUCUCGCCCUCGCGGGUAGAUCUCCCACCCACUGUUAUCGUUACUGUGUUGCUUUGGCGGGCCGCCGGGCCCCGCUCGGCCGCCGGCUCCGGCUGGCGCGCGCCCGCCAGAGGCCCAGCAAACUCUGAAUGUUAGUGUCGUCUGAGUACUAUAUAAUAGUUAAAACUUUCAACAACGGAUCUCUUGGUUCUG